GACGUUGGAUUACCAGUGAGCGGCGGACGGGUGAGUAACACGUGGGCAACCUACCCUGAAGUGGGGGAUAACAUCUGGAAACAGGUGCUAAUACCGCAUAACAACGAAAACCACAUGGUUUUCGUUUCAAAGAUGGUUUCGGCUAUCACUUCAGGAUGGGCCCGCGGUGCAUUAGCUAGUUGGUAAGGUAACGGCUUACCAAGGCAAUGAUGCAUAGCCGAGUUGAGAGACUGAUCGGCCACAAUGGAACUGAGACACGGUCCAUACUCCUACGGGAGGCAGCAGUAGGGAAUCUUCCACAAUGGGCGCAAGCCUGAUGGAGCAACACCGCGUGAGUGAAGAAGGGUUUCGGCUCGUAAAGCUCUGUUGUUGGAGAAGAACGUGCGUGAGAGUAACUGUUCACGCAGUGACGGUAUCCAACCAGAAAGUCACGGCUAACUACGUGCCAGCAGCCGCGGUAAUACGUAGGUGGCAAGCGUUAUCCGGAUUUAUUGGGCGUAAAGCGAGCGCAGGCGGUUGCUUAGGUCUGAUGUGAAAGCCUUCGGCUUAACCGAAGAAGGACAUCGGAAACCGGGCGACUUGAGUGCAGAAGAGGACAGUGGAACUCCAUGUGUAGCGGUGGAAUGCGUAGAUAUAUGGAAGAACACCAGUGGCGAAGGCGGCUGUCUGGUCUGCAACUGACGCUGAGGCUCGAAAGCAUGGGUAGCGAACAGGAUUAGAUACCCUGGUAGUCCAUGCCCGUAAAACGAUGAGUGCUAGGUGUUGGAGGGUUUUCCGCCCUUCAGUG
rnacentral:rRNA from 1 species